rnacentral:tRNA from 1 species
AGUCUCGAGGUGUAUACAUGCAUGAUUGCAAAUCAUGAGUAGUAGAUUACCGUCUACCGGGACUU